CCCGCACAAGCGGCGGAGCAUGUUGCUUAAUUCGAUGCAACGCGAAGAACCUUACCUAGGCUUGACAUGCACGGAAAACUGGCAGAGAUGUCAGGUCCUUCGGGGUCGUGCACAGGUGGUGCAUGGUUGUCGUCAGCUCGUGUCGUGAGAUGUUGGGUUAAGUCCCGCAACGAGCGCAACCCUCGUCCUAUGUUGCCAGCACGUCAUGGUGGGGACUCAUAGGAGACUGCCGGGGUCAACUCGGAGGAAGGUGGGGAUGACGUCAAAUCAUCAUGCCCCUUAUGUCUAGGGCUGCAAACAUGCUACAAUGGCCGGUACAAAGGGCUGCGAUACCGCGAGGUGGAGCGAAUCCCAAAAAGCCGGUCUCAGUUCGGAUUGGGGUCUGCAACU
rnacentral:rRNA from 1 species